UUACUACUGCUAUUUUUAUUUAAUUUAUUAAGGUUUAUUUAUUUUAGUUACUAUAGUUUAUUUUAUUUUAUUUUAUUAAGGUUUAUUUAUUUUUAUUUAUUUUCUUAAGGUUUAUUUAUUUUAUUUACUAUAAAAAAAGAACAUAGAUGCGCCUAUAGAGAAAAUUCAACCUAAAUUCAUAAUAAAUUUCUAUGAAAUUCAAAGAAAUUUACUGUGAAUUUAGGUCAAAUUCCCUGUAUAAGGGCAUCUAUAUUCACUUUGAGAGGAGCUCAACAAGGCAGAGAGGGACGGGCUUAUAAACUGGUGUGAGCGCCCUUCGGUUGGCGAGG
rnacentral:lncRNA from 1 species